rnacentral:rRNA from 1 species
GACGAACGCUGGCGGCGUGCCUAAUACAUGCAAGUCGAACGCAGUGGGGACGGGUGAGUAACACGUGGGUAACCUUCCAUCAGAGGGGAUAACACUUGGAAACAGGUGCUAAACCGAUACUGAUGGAUGGACCCGGGGGGCAUUAGCGAGUUGGGGAGGGAACGGCUCACCAAGGCAACGAUGCAUAGCGGACCUGCGAGGGUGAGCGGCAACACUGGGACUGAGACACGGCCCAGACUCCUACGGGAGGCAGCAGUAGGGAAUCUUCGGCAAUGGGCGAAAGCUUGACCGAGCAACGCCGCGUGGUUGAAGAAGGUUUGCGGAUCGUAAAGCUCUUUUGUUAGGGAGACGGUAUCUAACCAGAAAGCCACGGCUAACUACGUGCCAGCAGCCGCGGUAAUUC